rnacentral:rRNA from 1 species
CAUGCAGUCGAGCGCGCCUUCGGGUGAGCGGCGGACGGGUUAGUAACGCGUGGGAACGUGCCCUUCUCUACGGAAUAGCCUCUGGAAACGGAGAGUAAUACCGUAUACGCCCUUUGGGGGAAAGAUUUAUCGGAGAAGGAUCGGCCCGCGUUAGAUUAGGUAGUUGGUGGGGUAACGGCCUACCAAGCCUACGAUCUAUAGCUGGUUUUAGAGGAUGAUCAGCAACACUGGGACUGAGACACGGCCCAGACUCCUACGGGAGGCAGCAGUGGGGAAUCUUAGACAAUGGGGGCAACCCUGAUCUAGCCAUGCCGCGUGAGUGAUGAAGGCCUUAGGGUCGUAAAGCUCUUUCGCCUGUGAUGAUAAUGACAGUAGCAGGUAAAGAAACCCCGGCUAACUCCGUGCCAGCAGCCGCGGUAAUACGGAGGGGGUUAGCGUUGUUCGGAAUUACUGGGCGUAAAGCGCACGUAGGCGGAUUAGAAAGUUGGGGGUGAAAUCCCGGGGCUCAACCUCGGAACUGCCUCCAAAACUGCUAGUCUAGAGUUCGAGAGAGGUGAGUGGAAUUCCGAGUGUAGAGGUGAAAUUCGUAGAUAUUCGGAGGAACACCAGUGGCGAANGCGGCUCACUGGCUCGAUACUGACGCUGAGGUGCGAAAGUGUGGGGAGCAAACAGGAUUAGAUACCCUGGUAGUCCACACCGUAAACGAUGAAUGCCAGUCGUCGGGUAGUAUACUAUUCGGUGACACACCUAACGGANUAAGCAUUCCGCCUGGGGAGUACGGUCGCAAGAUUAAAACUCAAGGG